UACGAAGGGUGCAAACGUUGCUCGGAAUUACUGGGCGUAAAGCGCACGUAGGCGGAUUUGUAAGUCAGGGGUGAAAUCCCGGGGGCUCAACCCUCGAAUGCCGGUGGAUACUGUCGGACUAGAGUACGGAAGAGGCGAGUGGAAUUCCUGGUGUAGCGGUGAAAUGCGCAGAUAUCAGGAGGAACACCAGUGGCGAAGGCGGAUCUCUGGGCCUUGCCUGACGCUGAGGCGCGAAAGCUAGGGGAGCGAACAGG
rnacentral:rRNA from 1 species